rnacentral:ribozyme from 1 species
UUUUUCUAUUUUUUCUAUUUUUUCUAUUUUUUCUAUUUUUCAGCUACAAGGCGUGAUCGUGCAGACAGCAGAA